rnacentral:rRNA from 1 species
CCUAGCGGCGGACGGGUGAGUAACGCGUGGGAACAUACCCUUUGGUACGGAAUAGCCUCGGGAAACUGGGAGUAAUACCGUAUGUGUCCUUUCACUGUAGUGGUGGGGGGAGAAAGAUUUAUCACCAAAGGAUUGGCCCGCGUUGGAUUAGGUAGUUGGUGGGGUAAUGGCCUACCAAGCCGACGAUCCAUAGCUGGUUUGAGAGGAUGAUCAGCCACACUGGGACUGAGACACGGCCCAG